rnacentral:rRNA from 1 species
UACGGAGGGGCUAGCGUUGUUCGGAAUUACUGGGCGUAAAGCGCGCGUAGGCGGACCUGCAAGUCGGGGGUGAAAGCCCGAGGCUCAACCUCGGAACUGCCUUCGAUACUGCGGGUCUCGAGUCCGGGAGAGGUGAGUGGAAUUCCUAGUGUAGAGGUGAAAUUCGUAGAUAUUCGCAAGAACACCAGUGGCGGAAGGCGGCUCACUGGCC